UCCUCGGAUAUAACGGAUGGUUUCGGAUCGGCAGUUGCCCUUCCGGAUGAAAAGGGAAUGUGACGGGGUGGACCCAAGCCGGGCGCCUUCAUCACAGCCGACCCCGCGACUGUAGAGCGGUCAGGGUCUUCCAUCCGGCAUCGAGCUCUUCGGCCGACAGCUUGCAAUGGUGCAGGCGGGCGGAACGGGCGACAUGCCGGAAAAGCCACUGGAAAUGCAUUGAUGAUCAACCGGGGUCGGACGCCUCUAUCUCUACGAAUCGUCCACCUUUUCACCGAUGCAGCCGGGAAGGCGAGGCGGAUCCGCUGGCACGAUCAGGGGCGACCGGUUUCCGGUCCGCCCCGAUCGCGGCCGAUAACCGCGAGCCAGGAGACCUGCCUUCCGUGCCGGGCGAGA
rnacentral:ncRNA from 1 species